CACGAGGCCUUUAAGCGCAAAAAGAAUACACCUAAAUCACUCCACGUCGUCUCUCUCUCGCGAAACCAUUAUGUGUUUGUUCUCCGUUUCUUCGGCGAUUGAUUUUCUCAACCGAAGUUGAUCAAUCGACACAACUCCAUCUCUGUGCAAUGAAUCCAUCAUUUAUUGAUUCCUUUCGCCUUCCUCCCUCUGCAUCCAUGUCUCUGAUUGAAAGGGCUCUGUGUUAAUGAUUUAUAUUUCGAAGCUAUUAUCUGAAAGAUCUGCAUGUAUUUCUCAUAUCUUCUUCUGUGAAUUAUGUUCUGAUCGACAAUGUGUUAGAUCAAAUCAGUUAUAUUGUUUCCUCCAUUGUGUGUAAAAUAAACCCAGGCUGUGUCCUUUUGUUUUAAGUUUGACUUGAAAUAUGCAAUGUAAUAGAAGCUAUGGUUUUGUAUGUAUGUGCUUCUUAUGUUUCUAUUAGAAACUACUGUUUUUUUCUAAAUCGAUGAAUGGCGUCUUCUUCGAUCUAUGACGGUCUCCUCUUCUUUCUCUUCUUCACUUCAUCAGUUUACGCUCGAUUCAUCGCCGUACGUUCAUCUUCUACCUAUCUCAUCUCGAUGGAAUCGACGGUGGAAGUCUCGGCUCUUGAUCUGUUAUAAAGACGGUGGUCUCGGCUGAAGAGACAGAAGAAGACUGUGAACAGAGUUAUGGGUUCAUGGCGCUUGGUAACAUGUUUUUAAUAUGGUUUAUGGAUUUCUCAUGUUCACGGCAGCGAUGUAUCUAUCUGCCGAAAGUGAGCUUCUUCUCGAAAUCCUUGCCCUUGAAUCGUCGGUGGUUUGUUUCUUUCCAUGCUCGGAGCACACCCUUACGCUAUGCUUAUUAUGGACUUUCUGGAGAUGUAGCAACUGCGCAAAGCCAAGUCUCUGUGCGAAUGAGUUUACUCGCUGGCUCUACCUUUAUGUUUCUCACUAUUAUUUAGAUAACUAGCACAGUUGUUGGCAAGUGUGACAUUCGUUAUACUAUUGUUGUAAACAACCAAGACACUAAAGGCUUCCAUAUAAACGAAAAGAUAAAGUGUUUAUGUCU